GGAAAGGCUGUCUCAUAAAAUGUGUUACGCAAAUAAAAUAACUGAACUUUGAACAUUGCAUCAUAAAAAAGGAUGAACUAUUAACAUUAUAUGCACAGGUUUAUAUACUAACACAGUGAUGUGUGAUGUCUGGGCUGAAGGAGGACAGCAGCACAUAAAGCAUCUGGCCUAAUUACUCUGCAACUUCAAGGACAAUUUUUCAGGCUCAACAAGAAGAUGAAGGAGGGGGUUUUAACAGCUGAUGGAUUUUGAGUAAACCGUUUCUGCAGAUGUGCACGAAGGUCGCUCCGGAGCCUCGUUGGAAGGUUUUAACUCACAAAAAGACUCAUUUGAGACGCACUAAGAAAAACACACACUAAACUUUCCUUUCCAGUCGCCUCCCAGACGAAACCAACGGCAUCUCAGCGCCUUCCUUCCUUCCUUCCUUCCUUCCUUCCUUCCUUCCUUCCUCGGCGGGGAGAUGACAGUAAAGGAGGAGCAGGUGUGUUUGGAGCGAUGCUCUCGACAGAUUCACCAGGCAGGGGCUACAUCUCAGUGCACAAAUCUCCUCUUCUUCUUCUUCUUCUUCUUCUU